rnacentral:tRNA from 1 species
GCGCCCUUAGCUCAGCUGGAUAGAGCACGUCCCUUCUAAGGAUGUGGUCGUAGGUUCGAAUCCUACAGGGCGUACCA